rnacentral:tRNA from 1 species
GCCGGGAUGGCGGAAUUGGUAGACGCGCCAGAUUUAGGUUCUGGUAUCGAAAGGUGUGCAGGUUCGAGUCCUGUUCCCGGCACCU